rfam:Desulfotomaculum acetoxidans DSM 771, complete genome.
UUUACAAAGUAGAAGUUGCCGCUUCUCACCUUAAAACGCCUUGAGCUGUUACUAAGGUAUUUUAAAAAAUAUGGACUUUUGUCUGUUAAGCGGGCUUUUGCCUGCUUUUUUAAUUUUUU